AUUGAACGCUGGCGGCAUGCUUUACACAUGCAAGUCGAACGGUAACAGGCCGCAAGGUGCUGACGAGUGGCGAACAGGUGAGUAGUGCAUCGGAACGUACCCAGUCGUGGGGGAUAACGCAGCGAAAGCUGCGCUAAUACCGCAUACGAUCUGUGGAUGAAAGCGGGGGACCGAAAGGCCUCGCGCGAUUGGAGCGGCCGAUGUCAGAUUAGGUAGUUGGUGGGGUAAAGGCCCACCAAGCCAACGAUCUGUAGCUGGUCUGAGAGGACGACCAGCCACACUGGGACUGAGACACGGCCCAGACUCCUACGGGAGGCAGCAGUGGGGAAUUUUGGACAAUGGGCGCAAGCCUGAUCCAGCAAUGCCGCGUGCAGGAAGAAGGCCUUCGGGUUGUAAACUGCUUUUGUACGGAACGAAACGGCUCUGGUUAAUACCUGGGGCUAAUGACGGUACCGUAAGAAUAAGCACCGGCUAACUACGUGCCAGCCGCCGCCGUAAUAC
rnacentral:rRNA from 1 species